rnacentral:misc_RNA from 1 species
GAACGCACCUUGCGCUCCUUGGUAUUCCGAGGAGCAUGCAUGUUUGAGUGUCAUUUGACUUAUCAAACCACCUCAUCUGCUUGGUGGCUUUGGAUGUGGGGGUCUUUGCAGGCUUUGAACAAAGGUCUGCUCUCCUGAAACGCAUUAGUGGCAUCUGAGCUGCUACUAUAGGUGUGAUAAAUUAUCUAUGCCUUUGGUAUGCCGCAUGAACGGAUUGUGCUGCUCACAACGAACAAAAAGAACUUUGACAAACUUGACCUCAAAUCAGGUAGGACUACCCGCUGAACUUAAG